CCUANGGGAGGCAGCAGUGGGGAAUAUUGGACAAUGGGCGCAAGCCUGAUCCAGCAAUGCCGCGUGAGUGAUGAAGGCCUUAGGGUUGUAAAGCUCUUUCGGCGGGGAAGAUGAUGACGGUACCCGCAGAAGAAGCCCCGGCUAACUUCGUGCCAGCAGCCGCGGUAAUACGAAGGGGGCUAGCGUUGUUCGGAAUUACUGGGCGUAAAGGGCGCGUAGGCGGCGCGUUAAGUCAGGUGUGAAAGCCCUGGGCUCAACCCAGGAAUUGCACUUGAUACUGACGUGCUUGAAUCCGGAAGAGGAUGACGGAAUUCCCAGUGUAGAGGUGAAAUUCAUUGAUAUUGGGAAGAACACCAGUGGCGAAGGCGGUCAUCUGGUCCGGUAUUGACGCUGAGGCGCGAAAGCGUGGGGAGCAAACAGGAUUAGAUACCCCGNUANUC
rnacentral:rRNA from 1 species